UGGGGAAUUGUUCGCAAUGGGCGCAAGCCUGACGACGCAACGCCGCGUGGGGGAUGAAGGUCUUCGGAUUGUAAACCCCUGUUGGGUGGGACGAACACUUUCGUGGUGAAUAGCCAUGGAGGCUGACGGUACCACCUGAGGAAGCCCCGGCUAACUCUGUGCCAGCAGCCGCGGUAAUACAGAGGGGGCGAGCGUUGUCCGGAUUUAUUGGGCGUAAAGAGCUCGUAGGCGGUUAGACAAGUCGGGUGUGAAAGCUCGAGGCUCAACCUCGAGACGCCACUCGAUACUGUUUUGACUGGAGUCCGGUAGAGGAGUGCGGAAUUCCUGGUGUAGCGGUGAAAUGCGCAGAUAUCAGGAGGAACACCAACGGCGAAGGCAGCACUCUGGGCCGGUACUGACGCUGAGGAGCGAAAGCGUGGGGAGCAAA
rnacentral:rRNA from 1 species